UGGGGAAUAUUGGACAAUGGGCGAAAGCCUGAUCCAGCCAUGCCGCGUGUGUGAAGAAGGUCUUCGGAUUGUAAAGCACUUUAAGUUGGGAGGAAGGGCAUUAACCUAAUACGUUAGUGUUUUGACGUUACCGACAGAAUAAGCACCGGCUAACUCUGUGCCAGCAGCCGCGGUAAUACAGAGGGUGCAAGCGUUAAUCGGAAUUACUGGGCGUAAAGCGCGCGUAGGUGGUUUGUUAAGUUGGAUGUGAAAUCCCCGGGCUCAACCUGGGAACUGCAUUCAAAACUGACUGACUAGAGUAUGGUAGAGGGUGGUGGAAUUUCCUGUGUAGCGGUGAAAUGCGUAGAUAUAGGAAGGAACACCAGUGGCGAAGGCGACCA
rnacentral:rRNA from 1 species